rnacentral:rRNA from 1 species
GAUGAACGCUGGCGGCGUGCCUAAUACAUGCAAGUCGAGCGAACGGACGAGAAGCUUGCUUCUCUGAUGUUAGCGGCGGACGGGUGAGUAACACGUGGAUAACCUACCUAUAAGACUGGGAUAACUUCGGGAAACCGGAGCUAAUACCGGAUAAUAUUUUGAACCGCAUGGUUCAAAAGUGAAAGACGGUCUUGCUGUCACUUAUAGAUGGAUCCGCGCUGCAUUAGCUAGUUGGUAAGGUAACGGCUUACCAAGGCAACGAUGCAUAGCCGACCUGAGAGGGUGAUCGGCCACACUGGAACUGAGACACGGUCCAGAAUCCUACGGGAGGCAGCAGGAGGGAAUCUUCCGCAAUGGGCGAAAGCCUGACGGAGCAACGCCGCGUGAGUGAUGAAGGUCUUCGGAUCUGAAAACUCUGUUAUUAGGGAAGAACAUAUGUGUAAGUAACUGUGCACAUCUUGACGGUACCUAAUCAGAAAGCCACGGCUAACUACGUG